UGAUAGCUUGCCGACGCCAGUCGAACCCAUGUACGUGGGUCAGGGAAUCCGGUGCGAAUCCGGAACUGACGCGCAGCGGUGAGGGGGACGGGCGGGGCCUCGGCCACUGGACGGCGUGUGUGACGUCCGGGAAGGCGCCCCGUACCGGACGAACCCGAGUCCGAAGACCUGCUGGCGGCCCCCGCGGCGGU
rnacentral:ncRNA from 17 species